rnacentral:rRNA from 1 species
GAUGAACGCUGGCGGCGUGCCUAAUACAUGCAAGUCGAGCGAACAGACGAGGAGCUUGCUCCUCUGACGUUAGCGGCGGACGGGUGAGUAACACGUGGAUAACCUACCUCUAAGACUGGGAUAACUUCGGGAAAACGGAGCUAAUACCGGAUCAUAUAUUGAACCGCAUGGUUCAAUAGUGAAAGACGGUUUUGCUGUCACUUAUAGAUGGAUCCGCGCCGCAUUAGCUAGUUGGUAAGGUAACGGCUUACCAAGGCAACGAUGCGUAGCCGACCUGAGAGGGUGAUCGGCCACACUGGAACUGAGACACGGUCCAGACUCCUACGGGAGGCAGCAGUAGGGAAUCUUCCGCAAUGGGCGAAAGCUUGACGGAGCAACGCCGCGUGAGUGAUGAAGGUCUUCGGAUCGUAAAACUCUGUUAUUAGGGAAGAACAAAUGUGUAAGUAACUAUGCACGUCUUGACGGUACCUAAUCAGAAAGCCCCGGCUAACUACGUG